AAUUUCACUUCACUUCUGUGACAUAAAACAACAUUGCGGCUUCGCGGGUGUUUUAUAUAUAAGGUUACAGAAUAUAUGUUCAUCCACUGCUCCAUCGUGUGAAUGCAUCACUUCUUAACGAUCUUCUUGUUAUAAUUGGAACCGAGUAUGAUUCGAGUAACAACGAUGAAAUACUGUAUAGGUAUUCUUGUCUGUGUUCAUGCUGCGGUAUCAGAAUUUUGCUACGAACAGGCCAAGAAAACUUGUAAUAAAACUAUGAGAGUAUAUCCUAUACGUGAUCCUGACACAUUAUUGUGCAAGUAAGUUCGCUUUCUUU